rnacentral:rRNA from 1 species
UCGACCUACGGGGGGCAGCAGUGGGGAAUAUUGCACAAUGGGGGAAACCCUGAUGCAGCGACGCCGCGUGAGUGAUGAAGUAUUUCGGAAUGUAAAGCUCUAUCAGCAGGGAAGAUAAUGACGGUACCUGACUAAGAAGCUCCGGCUAAAUACGUGCCAGCAACCGCGGUAAUACGUAUGGAGCAAGCGUUAUCCGGAUUUACUGGGUGUAAAGGGAGCGCAGACGGCAGGGCAAGACUGAUGUGAAAGUCCGGGGCUCAACCCCGGGACUGCAUUGGCAACU